UUUCCGUAGGUGAACCUGCGGAAGGAUCAUUACCGAGUGCGGACCUCCGGGUCCAACCUCCCACCCGUGUGUACCGUACCGCGUUGCUUCGGCGGGCCCGCCCACCGCGGCCGCCGGGGGGCAUCCGCCCCGCGGCCCGCGCCCGCCGAGGACCCCCGGGAACUCGUGUCUGAAGAGUGCCGUCUGAGCGAGAAGCGAAAUCAGUCAAAACUUUCAACAACGGAUCUCUUGGUUCCGGCAUCGAUGAAGAACGCAGC
rnacentral:misc_RNA from 1 species